GCUUCUGACUCUGGUCCUGCUCUUGGACCAACACAAAACUGAUGGCCCGCUCCGUUACAGUAAAAUACAAACGGAGGGGCACGCCCGUUACCGGCUUGCAGAGGACCGGUGGCGUCGCCAGGUACUCCUUCAGCUUAAUGAAAGCCGCUUCGCACUCAUCAGUCCAUGCAAAGCGACUGUUUCUCUUGAGGCACUGGAAGUACGGGUGCCCCUUUUC
rnacentral:lncRNA from 1 species